rnacentral:rRNA from 1 species
CCUACGGGAGGCAGCAGUGGGGAAUAUUGCACAAUGGGGGAAACCCUGAUGCAGCGACGCCGCGUGAGUGAAGAAGUAUUUCGGGAUGUAAAGCACUAUCAGCAGGGAAGAAAAUGACGGUACUUGAUUAAGAAGCCCCGGCUAACUACGGGCCAGCAACCGCGGUAAUACGUAGGGGGCGAGCGUAAUCCGGAUUGACUGGGUGUAAAGGGACCGGAGACGGCAGCACAAGUCUGGAGUGAAAUGCCGGGGCUUAACCCGGGAACUGCUUUGGAAACUGUGCAGCUAGAGUGCAGGAGAGGUAAGUGGAAUUCCUAGUGUAGCGGUGAAAUGCGUAGAUAUUAGGAGGAACACCAGUGGCGAAGGCGGCUUACUGGACUGUAACUGACGUUGAGGCUCGAAAGCGUGGGGAGCAAACAGGAUUAGAUACCCGAGUAGUC